rnacentral:rRNA from 1 species
UGAAAGCAUCUAAGCGGGAAACUUGCCUCAAGAUGAGAUCUCACUGGGAACUUGAUUCCCCUGAAGGGCCGUCGAAGACUACGACGUUGAUAGGCUGGGUGUGUAAGCGUUGUGAGGCGUUGAGCUAACCAGUACUAAUUUCCCGUGAGGCUUGACCAU